GGCGUAGGCGGCUUGUUAAGUCAGAUGUGAAAUCUCCCGGCUCAACUGGGAGGGUGCAUUUGAUACUGACCGGCUAGAGUGCAGCAGAGGAAGAUGGAAUUCCCGGUGUAGUGGUGAAAUGCGUAGAUAUCGGGAGGAACACUAGUGGCGAAGGCGGUCUUCUGGGCUGUAACUGACGCUGAGGUCCGAAGGCGUGGGGAGCAAACAGGAUUAGAUACCCUGGUAGUCCACGCGGUAAACGAUGGAUACUAGGUAUGGGGAGUAUCGACCCUCUCCGUGCCGAAGCUAACGCUUUAAGUAUCCCGCCUGGGGAGUACGGUCGCAAGACUAAA
rnacentral:rRNA from 1 species